AUACGGAGGGAGCGAGCGUUAAUCGGAAUUACUGGGCGUAAAGCGCGCGUAGGCGGCUUUGUAAGUCGGAUGUGAAAGCCCUGGGCUCAACCUGGGAAUGGCAUUCGAUGCUGCAGAGCUAGAGUAUGGUAGAGGGAAGUGGAAUUUCCGGUGUAGCGGUGAAAUGCGUAGAUAUCGGAAGGAACACCAGUGGCGAAGGCGACUUCCUGGGCCAAUACUGACGCUGAGGUGCGAAAGCGUGGGGAGCAAACAGGAUUAGAAACCCGAGUAGUCC
rnacentral:rRNA from 1 species